CAUCCAGCCACAGUGCCAAGUGCGCCACCAAAUCCAUUCCGGAGGAUAGGGCCUCCUCACUUUAGGCCCCCAACAGGGACUCUGCCAGCCAUCCCUGCUCCCCAAUUUGUGCCUACGGAUCUUCCUGCCAUAUGCCCACUAACACCAGCUGUUGGAGGUCCAAACCAAUUUCCUGACAAAGAAUUGAACCAAAACCAUGACCAAGAAAACCUGGAGACCUGCAGCCUAACUGCGCCAGCAGUUCCCUGUGAGGGGAAAGAAUCAUGCCAUGGACAAGUGGCAGUCACUACUGCUCAUCCAGCCACAGUGCCAAGUGCGCCACCAAAUCCAUUCCGGAGGAUAGGGCCUCCUCACUUUAGGCCCCCAACAGGGACACUGCCAGCCAUCCCUGCUCCCCAAUUUGUGCCUACGGAUCUUCCUGCCAUAUGCCCACUAACACCAGCUGUUGGAGGUCCAAACCAAUUUCCUGACAAAGAAUUGAACCAAAACCAUGACCAAGAAAACCUGGAGACCUGCAGCCUAACUGCGCCAGCAGUUCCCUGUGAGGGGAAAGAAUCAUGCCAUGGACAAGUGGCAGUCACUACUGCUCAU